rnacentral:rRNA from 1 species
CAUGAAGUCGGAAUCGCUAGUAAUCGCGGAUCAGCAUGCCGCGGUGAAUACGUUCCCGGGCCUUGUACACACCGCCCGUCACACCAUGAGAGUCGGGAACACCCGAAGUCCGUAGCCUAACCAAUCUGGAGGGCGCGGCCGAAGGUGGGUUCGAUAAUUGGGGUGAAGUCGUAACAAGGUACC